GACGAACGCUGGCGGCGUGCUUAACACAUGCAAGUCGAGCGGUAAGGCCCUUUCGGGGGUACGACGAGCGGCGAACGGGUGAGUAACACGUGGGUGACCUGCCCUCAGCUCUGGGAUAAGCCUGGGAAACUGGGUCUAAUACUGGAUAUGACUCCACGGUGCAUGUCGUGGGGUGGAAAGCCUUGUGCGGCUGAGGAUGGGCCCGCGGCCUAUCAGCUUGUUGGUGGGGGUGANGGCCUACCAAGGCGACGACGGGUAGCCGGCCUGAGAGGGCGACCGGCCACACUGGGACUGAGACACGGCCCAGACUCCUACGGGAGGCAGCAGUGGGGAAUCUUGCGCAAUGGGCGAAAGCCUGACGCAGCGACGCCGCGUGAGGGAUGACGGCCUGGUUGUAA
rnacentral:rRNA from 1 species